rnacentral:rRNA from 1 species
CAGUCGCCGCGGGAAUACGAAGGUCCCGAGCGUUGUUCGGAAUCACUGGGCGUAAAGGGAGCGUAGGCGGCGUGGUAAGUCAGAUGUGAAAUCCCGGGGCUCAACCCCGGAACUGCAUCCGAUACUGCCAUGCUAGAGGAUUGGAGAGGUAGCUGGAAUUCUUGGUGUAGCAGUGAAAUGCGUGGAGAUCAAGAGGAACACUCGUGGCGAAAGCGAGCUACUGGACAAUAACUGACGCUGAGGCUCGAAGGCCAGGGUAGCGAAAGGGAUUAGAUACCCCGGUAGUCCCUGUCUCUUAUAC